rnacentral:lncRNA from 1 species
AAGGACUGAAGCAAAACAGGGCAAAACAGAGCUCAACUACGCCGGGGGCGCAGUACAACCACGCGCGGCGUGAUCCUUCAGUACAGAGGAAGGAGUUUUUCACAUUUCAUCACGCGCGGCGUGGGGGUACAUCAUGUAAUGACCCAUUUUUCGUAUUCGUAUAUUUUAUUAAAUGUUAUUUUAUUUAUUAAUUGGCUUUUAUUAUUUUAG